rnacentral:rRNA from 1 species
UACGGGGGAUGCAAGCGUUAUCCGGAUUUAUUGGGUUUAAAGGGUGCGUAGGCUGUGAGGUAAGUCAGCGGUGAAAUGCCCCCGCUCAACGGGGUGAAGUGCCAUUGAUACUGCCUUGCUGGAAUGCGGAUGCCGUGGGAGGAAUAUGUGGUGUAGCGGUGAAAUGCAUAGAUAUCACACAGAACACCGAUUGCGAAGGCAUCUCACGAAUCCGCUAUUGACGCUGAUGCACGAAAGCGUGGGUAUCAAACAGG